GACGAACGCUGGCGGCGUGCCUAAUACAUGCAAGUGGGACGCAAGGAAACACACUGUGCUUGCACACCGUGUUUUCUUGAGUCGCGAACGGGUGAGUAACGCGUAGGUAACCUGCCUAUUAGCGGGGGAUAACUAUUGGAAACGAUAGCUAAUACCGCAUAAUAUUAAUUAUUGCAUGAUAAUUGAUUGAAAGAUGCAAGCGCAUCACUAGUAGAUGGACCUGCGUUGUAUUAGCUAGUUGGUAAGGUAAGAGCUUACCAAGGCGACGAUACAUAGCCGACCUGAGAGGGUGAUCGGCCACACUGGGACUGAGACACGGCCCAGACUCCUACGGGAGGCAGCAGUAGGGAAUCUUCGGCAAAGACGAAAGUCUGACCGAGCAACGCCGCGUGAGUGAAGAAGGUUUUCGGAUCGUAAAGCUCUGUUGUAAGUCAAGAACGUGUGUGAGAGUGGAAAGUUCACACAGUGACGGUAGCUUACCAGAAAGGGACGGCUAACUACGUG
rnacentral:rRNA from 1 species